rnacentral:rRNA from 1 species
GGGGAAUAUUGCACAAUGGGGGAAACCCUGAUGCAGCAACGCCGCGUGAAGGAUGACGGUUUUCGGAUUGUAAACUUCUUUUCUUAGUGACGAAGACAGUGACGGUAGCUAAGGAAUAAGCAUCGGCUAACUACGUGCCAGCAGCCGCGGUAAUACGUAGGAUGCAAGCGUUAUCCGGAUUUACUGGGUGUAAAGGGAGCGCAGGCGGGACUGCAAGUUGGAUGUGAAAUACCGUGGCUUAACCACGGAACUGCAUCCAAAACUGUAGUUCUUGAGUGAAGUAGAGGCAAGCGGAAUUCCGAGUGUAGCGGUGAAAUGCGUAGAUAUUCGGAGGAACACCAGUGGCGAAGGCGGCUUGCUGGGCUUUAACUGACGCUGAGGCUCGAAAGUGUGGGGAGCAAACAGGAUUAGAUACCCUGGUAGUCCACACUGUAAACGAUGAUAGCUAGGUGUGGGGGGUCUGACCCCUUCCGUGCCGGAGUUAACGCAAUAAGCUAUCCACCUGGGGAGUACGACCGCAAGGUUGAAACUCAAAGGAAUUGACGGGGGCCCGCACAAGCAGUGGAUUAUGUGGUUUAAUUCGAAGCAACGCGAAGAACCUUACCAGGUCUUGACAUCCGACUAACGAGAUAGAGAUAUGUCAGGUGCCCUUCGGGGAAAGUCGAGACAGGUGGUGCAUGGUUGUCGUCAGCUCGUGUCGUGAGAUGUUGGGUUAAGUCCCGCAACGAGCGCAACCCCUGCCAUUAGUUGCUACGCAAGAGCACUCUAAUGGGACCGCUACCGACAAGGUGGAGGAAGGUGGGGACGACGUCAAAUCAUCAUGCCCCUUAUGACCUGGGCUACACACGUAAUACAAUGGCCGUUAACAGAGGGAAGCAAAGCGGUGACGCGGAGCAAAACCCUAAAAACGGUCCCAGUUCGGACUGUAGGCUGCAACCCGCCUACACGAAGUUGGAAUUGCUAGUAAUUGCGGAUCAGCAUGCCGCGGUGAAUACGUUCCCG